rnacentral:rRNA from 1 species
ACCUGACUGCUAUCGGAUUGAUACUAAGCCAUGCGAGUCAUUGUAGCAAUACAAGGCAUACGGCUCAGUAACGCGUAGUCAACCUAACCUAUGGACGGGAAUAACCUCGGGAAACUGAGAAUAAUGCCCGAUAGAACAUUAUAUCUGGAAUGGUUUAUGUUCCAAAUGAUUUAUCGCCGUAGGAUGGGACUGCGGCCUAUCAGUUUGUUGGUGAGGUAAUGGCCCACCAAGACUAUUACAGGUACGGGCUCUGAGAGGAGUAGCCCGGAGAUGGGUACUGAGACACGGACCCAGGCCCUAUGGGGCGCAGCAGGCGAGAAAACUUUGCAAUGUGCGAAAGCACGACAAGGUUAAUCCGAGUGAUUUGUGCUAAACGAAUCUUUUGUUAGUCCUAGAAACACUAACGAAUAAGGGGUGGGCAAGUUCUGGUGUCAGCCGCCGCGGUAAAACCAGCACCUCAAGUGGUCAGGAUGAUUAUUGGGCCUAAAGCAUCCGUAGCCGGCUCUGUAAGUUUUCGGUUAAAUCUGUACGCUCAACGUACAGGCUGCCGGGAAUACUGCAGAACUAGGGAGUGGGAGAGGUAGACGGUACUCGGUAGGAAGUGGUAAAAUGCUUUGAUCUAUCGAUGACCACCUGUGGCGAANGCGGUCUACCAGAACACGUCCGACGGUGAGGGAUGAAAGCUGGGGGAGCAAACCGGAUUAGAUACCCGGGUAGUCCCAGCUGUAAACUAUGCAAACUCAGUGAUGCAUUGGCUUGUGGCCAAUGCAGUGCUGCAGGGAAGCCGUUAAGUUUGCCGCCUGGGAAGUACGUACGCAAGUAUGAAACUUAAAGGAAUUGGCGGGGGAGCACCACAAGGGGUGAAGCCUGCGGUUC